rnacentral:rRNA from 1 species
UGAUCAUGGCUCAGGAUGAACGCUAGCGGUGCGCCUAAUGCAUGCAAGUCGAACGAGAAGUCCGGUGCUUGCAUCGGUUGGAAAGUGGCGGACGGGUGAGUAACACGUAGGUGAUCUACCCUGGAGAGGGGGACAACCAUUGGAAACGAUGGCUAAUACCCCAGAUGUUACACUAAUUAGAAAGGUGUGACUAAAACUCCGGUGCUCCAGGAGGAGCCUGCGGCCCAUCAUGUUAGUUGGUAAGGUAACGGCUUACCAAGACAAAGACGGGUAGGGGGCGUGAGAGCGCGAACCCCCACACUGGUACUGAGACACGGACCAGAUACCUGCGGGUAGCAGCAGCAAGGAAUAUUGCGCAAUGGGCGAAAGCCUGACGCAGCAACACCGCGUGGAGGAUGAAGGCUUUCGGGUCGUAAACUCCUUUUCUGGGGGAAGAGAAAGGACGGUACCCCAGGAAUAAGUCUCGGCUAACUACGUGCCAGCAGCCGCGGUAAAACGUGGGAGGCAAGCGUUAUCCGGAAUUACUGGGCGUAAAGCGCAUGCAGGCGGUUGUUUAAGUCAGACGUGAAAGCUCCUGGCUCAACUAGGAGAGGACGUUUGAAACUGGACAACUUGAGGAUGGUAGAGGAGAGUGGAAUUCCCGGUGUAGUGGUGAAAUGCGUAGAUAUCGGGAGGAACACCAGUGGCGAAAGCGGCUCUCUGGGCCAUAACUGACGCUCAGAUGCGAAAGCUAGGGGAGAGAACGGGAUUAGAAACCCCGGUAUUCCUAGCCGUAAACGAUGUCAACUAGGCGUGGGAGGUCAUUGACCCCUUCUGUGCUGCAGCAAACGCGAUAAGUUCUCCGCCUGGGGAGUACGGCCGCAAGGCUAAA